UACGGAGGGUGCAAACGUUGCUCGGAAUCAUUGGGCGUAAAGCGCACGUAGGCGGUCCGGUAAGUCGGGUGUGAAAGCCCUCGGCUCAACUGAGGAAGUGCAUUCGAAACUACCGGACUUGAGUAUGGAAGAGGGUCGCGGAAUUCCCGGUGUAGAGGUGAAAUUCGUAGAUAUCGGGAGGAACACCAGUGGCGAAGGCGGCGACCUGGGCCAAUACUGACGCUGAGGUGCGAAAGCGUGGGGAGCAAACAGG
rnacentral:rRNA from 1 species